rnacentral:tRNA from 1 species
GGCUCGGUAGCUUAGAUAUUAAAGCGUUCGUCUAGCAUACAAGAGUCCUGUGAUCGAAUCCCAGCCGAGCAC